ensembl:snoRNA SNORD33 Small nucleolar RNA Z195/SNORD33/SNORD32 family
GCAGCCAGUGAUGAGAACGUCUCCCACUCAUGUUCGAGUUCCCCAACCAUGAGAUGACUCCACAUGCACUACCAUCUGAGGCCGC